GUGUUCGUGAAAAGGAGAGAUGGUUGGCAUCUCCCCUGACAGGGACGGGAACAGCCUUCGGGCUUUCCUGUUACCACACAUCCGGUUAAGGCUACCCACCUUCUGGUGGAUCUUACCCAAUUUUUUA
rfam:Lupinus angustifolius cultivar Tanjil chromosome LG17, whole genome shotgun sequence.